AUAUAUAUUUUUAUCUAUUUCAGAGAUGAAGGGAGAGGGGGAGGGAGAGAUAAAAACAUCAAUGCCAACUGCAUGCAAGAGCAACCUGGAGAGACUUUGACAGCUCAGGUCAGCAUAAUACCUGCAGCUGCCACUUGCCUUUCCUAUAUCU
rfam:Myotis brandtii contig283100, whole genome shotgun sequence.